GGCGAGUGAAGCGGCAACAGCUCAAAUUUGAAAGCUAGCCUUCGGGUUCGCAUUGUAAUUUGUAGAGGAUGAUUUGGGGAAGCCGCCUGUCUAAGUUCCUUGGAACAGGACGUCAUAGAGGGUGAGAAUCCCGUAUGUGACAGGAAAUGGCACCCUAUGUAAAUCUCCUUCGACGAGUCGAGUUGUUUGGGAAUGCAGCUCUAAAUGGGAGGUAAAUUUCUUCUAAAGCUAAAUAUUGGCGAGAGACCGAUAGCGCACAAGUAGAGUGAUCGAAAGAUGAAAAGCACUUUGGAAAGAGAGUUAAAAAGCACGUGAAAUUGUUGAAAGGGAAGCGCUUGCAAUCAGACUUGUUUAAACUGUUCGGCCGGUCUUCUGACCGGUUUACUCAGUUUGGACAGGCCAGCAUCAGUUUCGGCGGCCGGAUAAAGGCUCUGGGAAUGUGGCCUCCACUUCGGUGGAGGUGUUAUAGCCCAGGGUGUAAUACGGCCAGCCGGGACUGAGGUCCGCGCUUCGGCUAGGAUGCUGGCGUAAUGGUUGUAAGCGACCCGUCU
rnacentral:rRNA from 1 species